rnacentral:rRNA from 1 species
CAGUCGCCGCGGUAAUACGGAGGGGGCUAGCGUUGUUCGGAAUUACUGGGCGUAAAGCGCACGUAGGCGGCUUGGUAAGUUAGAGGUGAAAGCCCGGAGCUCAACUCCGGAAUUGCCUUUAAGACUGCCGAGCUAGUAGGUGAGAGAGGUAAGUAGAAUUCCGAGUGUAGAGGUGAAAUUCGUAGAUAUUCGGAAGAACACCAGUGGCGAAGGCGGCUUACUGGCUCAUUCUAGACGCUGAGGUGCGAAAGCGUGGGGAGCAAACAGGAUUAGAUACCCGUGUAGUCCCUGUCUCUUAUAC